rnacentral:lncRNA from 1 species
UUCUCAUCUAAAUCCUUCGAUCAUUAGUGUUUCAGCUUCUCUAAGUGUGGGGUGCCAUAGGAGGUGGGUUUAUCAAAUCUUUGGAUACCAUAUCUACUUGUGCGUGUGGAUUUGAGGCUUGUGCCAUAGGGUACUGACGCGGAACCCUAUGGCACAAGCCUCAAACCCACACGCACAAGUAGAUACGGAAUCCAAAGAUUUGAUAAACCCACCUCCUAUGGCACCCCAAAUUUAGAGAAGCUGAAACACCAAUGAUCGAAGGAUUUAGAUGAGAAUCUGACAAACGCCACAACGAAUAGUUGAUAAGUAAGCCAAGAUUCCUGGUGCAAUUGAUGAAAGCAAAUCCUCACUCUCACUCAAAGCAAUACACGCCAAAGGCAUGAAAAUAAUUCUAAAAUUUUGAUUAAAAGCUACCUCUUACAAUUGUUUCUUAUCCUUAUAUAGUAAGGAGAAAAACAAAUAAAACCCUAAGACACUCUUUUUGGGCCUGACUUAAACACAUAAGGCCCAAGCCCAAUCACACACUAAAAUAACACAUAAGUAUUAAAACAUAAGCCCAAAACAUGACCCAACACUCUAAAACUUAAAAGAUAAAAUAUGGCCAGAAUACAAGCCCAAACAAAGCUAAAAUAAAAUAAGUGUUCAAAUAAUAAAACAUAGCAAGCCCAUCAUAACAAAGCUGAAUCUUCACAAAAACCUUAUUUGAUCUUCACUUUAGGCUUUCCUUUGUAUAGUUUUAGCCCAUAGGUUUGAUUAGGCUCUCUAAGCCUAUGAUUGCAAGUGUUGCACCAAAUCUGUCCCAUAUGAGUUGAAGCACGCCCCAAAUAUAUAUGGAUCAUAUGAAUAUGAUUUUGAACUCCUUUUAGAUCCAUUUGAAUGACAUAAGUUUGCUCCACACCAUUGUUAGAAAUUUGUCCUAUUGGAUCCGUAUCAGGUUCUGCGUCAAAAAAGUUCUCUAUAAAUAUUAGCACUAAUAAAAAUUGAUGGAGAGAAAAUUAAUUAAUUUAUAAGGACGUUUUUGCUAAGUGUUAUAAAUAAAUUACCAUAUUGUGACAUUUUUUUUUAUUUCAUUAUUAGUAAGAAUAAUUAAUUAUUUUUUAGGAAUGUUUUCAUGAAAAUACCACAAAUAAGUUACCAAUAUGGUAGUUUUAUAGCUAUCAAUAUUUAUCAACUUUUUGCUGAUGAAAUAGAAACGUCUUUAUAAGUAUUAGUGUCAAUAUGAAAUUGUUGGAGGGAAAAUUAAUCAAUUUGCAAAGAUUUUUACAUAAUGUAAUAAAUAAAUUACCUUUCACGAAUGAAAUCAAAACGUCUCUAUAGCUUUUGGUGCCGGUAUCAAUACGGCAAAUUUCUAACAAUGGUGUGGAGCAAACUUAUGUCAUUCAAAUGGAUCUAAAAGGAGUUCAAAAUCAUAUUCAUAUAAUCCAUAUAUAUUUGGGGCGUGCUUCAACUCAUAUAGGACAGAUUUGGUGCAACAAUUGCAAUCAUAAGCUUAGGGAGCCUAAUCAAACCUAUGGGCUAAAACUACACAAAGGGAAGCCUAAAGUGAAGAUCAAGUAAGGCUUUUGUGAAGAAUCAACUUUGUUAUGAUGGGCUUGCUAUAUUUUUAUUAUUUAACACUUGUUUUAUUUUAGGUUUGUUUGGGCUUGUAUUCUGGCCAUACUUUAUCUUUUAUAUUUUAGAGUGUUGGGCCAUGUUUUGGGCUUAUGUUUUACUACUUAUGUGUUAUUUUAGUGUGUGAUUGGGCUUGGGCCUUAUGUGUUUAAGUGAGGCCCAAGAAGAGUGUCUUAGGGUUUUAUUUACUUUCUCCUUACUAUAUAAGGAUUAGAAACACUUGUAAGAGGCAACUUUUAAUCAAAAUUUCAGAAUUCUUUUCAUGCCUUUGGCGUGUAUUGCUUUGAGUGAGAGUGAGGAUUUGCUUUCAUCAAUUGCACCAAGAAUCUUGGCUAACUUAUCAAUUAUUUGUUGUGGCGUUUGUCAGAUUCUCAUCUAAAUCCUUCGAUCAUUGGUGUUUCAGCUUCUCUAAGUGUGGGGUGCCAUAGGAGGUGGGUUUAUCAAAUCUUUGGAUUCCAUAUCUACUUGUGCGUGUGGGUUUGAGGCUUGUGCCAUAGGGUUCCGCGUCAGUUGGUAUCAGAGCCAAAGUGAGGUAAAUUCUUAUUUAUCUUAGGAUCUAGGGUUUUU